CCUACGGGCGACAGCAGUGAGGAAUAUUGGUCAAUGGGCGGAAGCCUGAACCAGCCAAGUCGCGUGAGGGAUUAAGGCCCUGCGGGUCGUAAACCUCUUUUGCCGGGGAGCAGAGGUCCGGACGUGUCCGGGCCGGGAGAGUACCCGGAGAAAAAGCAUCGGCUAACUCCGUGCCAGCAGCCGCGGUAAUACGGAGGAUGCGAGCGUUAUCCGGAUUUAUUGGGUUUAAAGGGUGCGUAGGCGGGCAUUUAAGCCGGCGGUCAAAUGUCGGGGCUCAACCCCGGCCUGCCGGCGGAACUGGGUGCCUUGAGUGGGCGAGAAGUAUGCGGAAUGCGUGGUGUAGCGGGGAAAUGCAUAGAUAUCACGCAGAACCCCGAUUGCGAAGGCAGCAUACCGGCGCCCUACUGACGCUGAGGCACGAAAGUGCGGGUAUCGAACAGGAUUAGAUACCCCAGUAGUC
rnacentral:rRNA from 1 species